CCCUUAGAUGUUCUGGGCCGCACGCGCGCUACACUGACGAAUGCAACGAGCUUAUAACCUUGGCCGAAAGGUCUGGGUAAUCUCCAAAUUUCGUCGUGAUGGGGAUAGAUUAUUGCAAUUAUUAAUCUUCAACGAGGAAUGCCUAGUAAGCGCAAGUCAUCAGCUUGCGUUGAUUACGUCCCUGCCCUUUGUACACACCGCCCGUCGCUCCUACCGAUUGAAUGGUCCGGUGAAGCGUUCGGACCGUGGCCUUUGGACGGUUCGCCGUCUGUUGGCUGCGGGAAGUUCGUUAAACCUNANCAUUUANAGGAAGGAGANGUCGUNACA
rnacentral:rRNA from 1 species